GUCAAAAGGAUUUGGGAAGCAUUAAGGCAAUCGCUCUGGAAGCAGCCAGCUCCCCAUGGGAAGCGUAGAAGCAGGGUUCUAGCACAGCAACGCCCCUGAGGUUUGCUUCUCCACGCAGAUACCUCCCCUGGGGGCCCAGCUGCACCCAGGUUUCAGUCCACCUUCGUUCCACCUUCAGCUUGCGAGGAGGCAUCAGCAAAGUGACAAGCCGUUNUCCAUCCACGUUAUCCAACCCACCUUUGGGGUCGAUAGUGCGGAAGGAAAAGGGCCGGUCACUCCGGAUCAAACCUUAAGUGCAACUGGGCUCUUGAGGGGGGGGGCACCCCCUCCCUGUCGCGACCGCCUAGAUUCCACUGCUGCAAACGAAGCAAACAGUAAUCANUCAGGACCACAACCGGGCGAGCUCGCCGGGCGCGCGAGGGCCCUCUCUCGGGGACCGGUCGCUCCGUCCAUCCUAUCCAAGGCAGCCCCAGACUCCCACCCGCGCGGACGGACCCACAGCUCGAAAGAAGCGCUCGCCCGCCACCGCCACCCCGCCGCCUUGCUCAGGGGCUCACGAUCCUCCCCGCUCUCCUCCCCCCUCGAAAGCCUUUCGGAGCAGCGCUGGGCACGGGCGGAGAGGCCCCGGGACGCAGCCCGCCCGGCCCGUCCCGCAGGAGGAAAGCUCCGCUCGGUUCCGAUCCAGCCCGGUCGGGAGCGCGUUCCCUCUCUCCCUCCGCCGUGCUUCGACGGGGAGACCUCUCCUCCCCCUCCCGACACGCACUCCUCGUCCCUUAAGCCCCCUCCGUCGGCGCCCGGGAGUGCUUCGAAGGGCACAAGCCAGGAGGCGCGAUCUCCAAAGAGAAUCAGAAUCAUAGAGUUGGAACAUGGUUGGAACUCCAGAGUUGGAACAUGGUUGGAAUCAUAGAAUCAGAAUCAUAGAGUUGGAACAGAGUUGGAACUCCAGGGUCCUCGAGUCCAACCCCUUGCUCAAUGCAGGAUCCACUAAACCAUCCCAGACAGAUGUCUGUCCAGUCUCUCCUUGAAGACCUCCAGCGAAGGAGAGCUCACCACCUCCUGUGGCAACCUGUUCCAAUGACCGGUCGCCCUUACCCUCAGAAAGUUUUUUCCUUCCCUUCUUCUUUUCACCCUUCCCUACUUCUGUCCCAGUGUGGGACAGGUUGCUUAUUCCGGGACAGGGCAUCCCACCCUGUCCUGGAAAACUGCAGGUAAGUGUGGAAAGGGCCACAUUCUGAAAGCAAACUGAAGUUGGAUUAAAAUUUAGGUGUAGAUGGUUUUCAAUAAUGAUGCUGCAGCGGCCAAANUGCAUUACUGCAAAUUUCCAGGAUUUCAUUACAUCAGGAGGGUUGCAUUUAACUGAUCGUAAGACUAAAAUCCUGCCGUACGAUGUUGGGGUGAAAGGGACAACUGUAUCUGUGAACAAAAAUCACUGUGAAUACCGACCAUCAGACUACAGUAAACAUCAAAAUAAAUGUCAAAUAAAAUGAAUAACA
rnacentral:lncRNA from 1 species